rnacentral:rRNA from 1 species
UACGAAGGGGGCUAGCGUUGCUCGGAAUCACUGGGCGUAAAGCGCACGUAGGCGGCUUUUUAAGUCAGGGGUGAAAUCCUGGAGCUCAACUCCAGAACUGCCUUUGAUACUGGGAAGCUUGAGUCCGGAAGAGGUGAGUGGAACUCCGAGUGUAGAGGUGAAAUUCGUAGAUAUUCGGAAGAACACCAGUGGCGAAGGCGGCUCACUGGUCCGGUACUGACGCUGAGGUGCGAAAGCUAGGGGAGCGAACGGG